rnacentral:sRNA from 1 species
CAGCCCUUGCUGAAGAUCAUGCCGAAGGGACACGGCCCAGUACUCUCGCCGCCACGGGCGGCGGGCGCAGGAAAGGCCGUGAGGCUACAAGGAG